rnacentral:rRNA from 1 species
UACGUAGGUGGCAAGCGUUGUCCGGAAUUAUUGGGCGUAAAGCGCGCGCAGGCGGCCUCUUAAGUCUGAUGUGAAAGCCCCCGGCUCAACCGGGGAGGGCCAUUGGAAACUGGGACGGCUUGAGGUAUAGGAGAGAAGAGUGGAAUUCCACGUGUAGCGGUGAAAUGCGUAGAGAUGUGGAGGAACACCAGUGGCGAAGGCGACUCUUUGGCCUAUAACUGACGCUGAGGCGCGAAAGCGUGGGGAGCAAACAGG